UACGUAGGGUGCAAGCGUUGUCCGGAAUCAUUGGGCGUAAAGAGCGCGUAGGCGGUCCAGUAAGUCCGCUCUGAAAGUCCGGGGCUCAACCACGGGAGGCGGGCGGAUACUGCUGGGCUAGAGUCCGGAAGAGGCGAGUGGAAUUCCUGGUGUAGCGGUGAAAUGCGCAGAUAUCAGGAGGAACACCAAUGGCGAAGGCAGCUCGCUGGGACGGUACUGACGCUGAGGCGCGAAAGCGUGGGGAGCAAACAGG
rnacentral:rRNA from 1 species